rnacentral:rRNA from 1 species
AGGAUAAACGCUGGCGGCGUGCCUAAUACAUGCAAGUCGAGCGGCAGCGCGGUCUUCGGACUGGCGGCGAGCGGCGGACGGCUGAGUAACACGUAGGAACGUACCCCAAAGUGAGGGAUAAGCACCAGAAAUGGUGUCUAAUACCGCAUGUGCUCUAAGGAGUAAAGCUUCGGCGCUUUGGGAACGGCCUACGCAUGAUUAGCUUGUUGGUGAGGUAAUGGCUCACCAAGGCGACGAUCAUUAGCUGGUCUGAGAGGAUGAUCAGCCAGACUGGGACUGAGAACGGCCCAGACUCCUACGGGAGGCAGCAGUAGGGAAUUUUCCACAAUGGGCGAAAGCCUGAUGGAGCAACGCCGCGUGCAGGAUGAAGGCCUUAGGGUUGUAAACUGCUUUUAUGUGUGACGAAUAUGACGGUAACAUAUGAAUAAGGAUCGGCUAACGUCCGUGCCAGCAGCCGC